rnacentral:piRNA from 1 species
UCUGCUCGUAGUUGGCAUGGAUCCAUUGU